GCAGGAAGAGUCAGUGCUUAGAGGGUCUGCCUACAAGAAGCAUCAAGGAGGAAGAAUAAAGCCAUUAUGAAAAAAGAGAUUCCUGAGCAUCCUUUCCAAAGGAGCAUUACAAAAGAGGGUGGAACAUCAUACCACGAGUCUCUGUAGCAGGCUCUUACUUCCUUGGCUAGAAGUUGUGUCUGAGAGACUUGAGAUGGGAAGGAG